ensembl:lncRNA
UGUAGUGUCACCUCUUGCACUGAGAUGCAGUGCCUUAGACCGCUGUGCCACUCGGGAGCAAAAAACAAACAUAUUUUUGUUAAAUCCUGCCUACUCGAAUGACCCUGGUGCCAUGGCCCGAACUUGCAAGCUAGCUAACUUUACAGCCACCAGAAACAAACACAGAGCAGACAAAGUCAACAAGCUAGAUAACGUGUUUGCAGAUAAACUGCCCUUGUAGCAGGGACAAAAGAAACAAGUAUCGUUCUCCGUUCUGAAUCAACUCGAUCCCCAAAAGAUAAAAAGAAGCAAGAAAAAUAUGGCUCAUGCCCAAGCCGGAUAAACAUUGGAAUGAAUUUUGAAAGGUGGAGGAGUGAUACCAAAAUGGCCACCAUUCUCAUGGACUGGUAGGUAAGUGUUUGGUAGCGUUUUUAGCCUGCUAGCUAGUUUCGCUGCUAACCUUAGUGUGUUCAAUGUUCAUGCUAGCUAAUAUGGCUACUUAGCUAGCUAGCUAACAUCUUCUGUAUUCUGACUGUUUUGUACUCAAAGGAAUCUAACAAUUGCAUCAUGUAGCUACAGUGCAUGAACCCCACAAGAUGCCAAAUGCCUUUCUUUUAACUAGCUAAUGUUAGCUGGCUAUAGCUAGAUAUGCAGAUUGUUGACAUGAUAAUGUUUGUGAGUUGGUGGUUGACAGCAUUUCUGGCACAGGACCACCACUAGCUAUUCUCAGGGAGAUACUGGUGAAGAAAAUCUGAUUUAGAGGGAACCGGAGGCUGUACAAGUUGUGGUUGUGCAAACCCCAACACAGGAGGAGAGCUGUAGUCAAAAUAUUGAUGGUGAUUCACAACCCUGGAGAGCAUUAAAGAAGAUGAGGUUGAAUUCAUCAGCGGUGCCUUCGUUCACACUAUAAAGUACUAAUAUUAAUUGUUAUCAAUAGCCCGCUAUUGUUGUUUUACUGCUGCACUUUAAUUAUUUGUUAUUUUUAUCUCUUACUUUUUUUAAAUAGAUAUUUUCUUAAAACUGC